UAGAAAACACUUUUUCUGAGACAUUUUCAUGAUUUGGAAACGCAGAGGUUUCUUAAUCCAAAGUUAUUUUGAAAUAAAGAUGCAAAACUUACCGUGGUAGGCGAUUAUACACUUUUUUUUGUUUGCUUAAAACGGUUUAAACGUUUAAAGCGCAUAUUAACACUUUAGACUGCGAAAAUGACCGGAUUUGUUCACUUGUAAACUUUGCACUACGACCGAAAUGACAAAUGUAAACAAAGCAACCAUGGUAUACUGCGAUAAUUGGUAUAUAGAUGUUUAGUUGUAUCAAUUAUGGACAUACGAAAAAAAGCAACAUUUUAGAUGAAAAGUUGGUACAUUUUGAUGAGGAAUUGUUAAAUAAGUAACAUUUUAGUGGCCAGCACGGAACUAAUGAAGCCCAAUGUUUUAAAAUGUUUCAAAUAAAAAAUCAAUCAGUGGUUUCAGUACGAAAAUUGACUGUUUUAGAUCGUUCGUUACAACCAGAUGGGUAAAUAGAAUAGUUUUCCGGAGUCGAAUUCGUUACUCCGGAAUGUUUUAGCCGGUGGGGUGGGGUGUGGAUUUGUGGACGAGGAAAAAAUCCGGACUCAUCGACUCUGAAUCCGGACCAGUUCGACUCCGGAAAAAUGGUAUUUACCCACCACUAGUUACAACGAGCGCCCUAAAACAGUCAAUUACUGAAUCCACGGAUGGAUUUUUUAUUUCAAAUAACAAUAUUUUAAAAUAUUAGGCUUCAUUAGUUCCGUGCUGGCCACUAAAAUGUUACUUAUUUAACAAUUCCUUAUCAAAAUGUACCAACUUUUCAUCUAAAAUGUUGCUUUUUUUCGAAUGUUUAUAAUUGAUACAACUAAACAUCUAUAUACCAAUUAUCGCAGCAUACCAUGGUUGCUUUGUUUACAUUUGUCAUUUCGGUCGUAGUGCAAAGUUUACAAAUGAACAAAUCCGGUCAUUUUCGCAGUCUAAAGUGUUAAUAUGCGUUUUAACCGUUUAAACCGUUUUAAGCAAACAAAAAAAGUGUAUAACCGCCUACCACGAUUAUAUACCUCUCGCAUGUUCAACCGUCUACACGGGUAGGCCAUACGUUUUGUAUGGAAGAAUGAUGAAAAGGAGUACAUCCGGAAUCCUCUGAAGUCGAACGAACUCAUCUUGAUUCAACCAAAGGCCACGGGACUCAUCUGUACUCAACCGAAGUCGACCGUGAUUGUCCGGAGUCGUCCAUAGUCUUCCGUAGUCCGGUUUUAAUUCGGGGUCGGAUUCCAUUUAUCUGAGCUGAAGUCGGAGUGGAUCUACGAUUCCAUCCCAUAUUGCACAACACUAUCUAAGACUCAUUCUACCGGAAUGAGCUGGAGGUCACGAUCGGCGGUGUUUAGUGCGAAAAUUUUGGACAUAUUUUUAGAAUAAUUCAAAUCUCUAAAGGGUCUUAUGAAAACCGAUAGACUCAUCUAUCUUCUAUUCAACGUGCCUUCAAUCAAUUGGAAAUUGUUAUGUUUUUCACUAAAAAUGACAGUUGGGACGCGCCCUGCUUCCAGCAUUGAAUGGACUACUGCCGGUGUGUGCGAGGUAUACUCCAGAAUCAAACGCAAAUCAGGAAAAAAUGACAUGGAUUGAUAACGAUUAGAAGACAAACAAUCUGCUUGCCGAAGGAUCAGUCUGUUAAAGCAGUGGUCUACAACCUGUGGUUCACUGAUUAUUUGUCCACUGAACAAAAAAAGAUUGUUUUAAAGAAAAGCUAAAUUUCUUACAUUUUUUUCCACAA